UUAGAUACCCUUGUAGUCCACGCCGUAAACGAUGAUUACUAGGUGUCGGUGGGUAUGGACCCAUCGGUGCCGCAGCAAACGCAGUAAGUAAUCCACCUGGGGAGUACGUUCGCAAGAAUGAAACUCAAAGGAAUUGACGGGGACCCGCACAAGCGGUGGAGCAUGUGGUUUAAUCCGAAGCAACGCGAAGAACCUUACCAAGUCUUGACAUCUGGAUGACAGGGACGUAACGGUCCCCUUACUUCGGUACAUCCAAGACAGGUGGUGCAUGGUUGUCGUCAGCUCGUGUCGUGAGAUGUUGGGUUAAGUCCCGCAACGAGCGCAACCCUUAUCCUUAGUAGCCAGCGGGCAGGGCCGGGCACUCUAGGGAGACUGCCGGGGAUAACCCGGAGGAAGGUGGGGAUGACGUCAAAUCAUCAUGCCCCUUAUGAUUUGGGCUACACACGUGCUACAAUGGCGUAAACAGAGGGAAGCGAACCCGCGAAGGGGAGCAAAUCCCANAAACAACGUCCCAGUUUCGGAUUGUAGCNNCUGCACCCGCUACAUGAAGCUGGAAUCGCUAGUAAUCGCGGAUCAGAAUGCCCGCGUGAAUACGUUCCCGGGUCUUGUACACACCGGCCGUCACACCAUGGGAGUCGGAAAUGCCCGAAGUCUGUGACCCAACCGCCAAGGAGGAACCACCCGAAGCAAGUUCGGAUGACUGGGGUUGAAGUUCUAACAAGGGUAACCCGAAUUCCACAAACUGGCCGGCCGUUCUAU
rnacentral:rRNA from 1 species